rnacentral:rRNA from 1 species
AGUGGCAGACGGGUGAGUAACGCGUGGGAACGUACCUUUCACUACGGAAUAGCUCCGGGAAACUGGUGGUAAUACCGUAUACGCCCUAAGGGGGAAAGAUUUAUCGGUGAAAGAUCGGCCCGCGUUGGAUUAGCUAGUUGGUGAGGUAAUGGCUCACAAAGGCGACGAUCCAUAGCUGGUCUGAGAGGAUGAUCAGCCACACUGGGACUGAGACACGGCCCAGACUCCUACGGGAGGCAGCAGUGGGGAAUCUUGCACAAUGGGCGAAAGCCUGAUGCAGCCAUGCCGCGUGAAUGAUGAAGGCCUUAGGGUUGUAAAAUUCUUUCGUCAGGGAUGAUAAUGACCGUACCUGAAGAAGAAGCCCCGGCUAACUUCGUGCCAGCAGCCGCGGUAAUACGAAGGGGGCUAGCGUUGUUCGGAAUUACUGGGCGUAAAGCGCACGUAGGCGGACUUUUAAGUCAGGUGUGAAAUCCCGGGGCUCAACCUCGGAACUGCAUUUGAAACUGGAAGUCUUGAGACCAGGAGAGGUUAGCGGAAUACCGAGUGUAGAGGUGAAAUUCGUAGAUAUUCGGUGGAACACCAGUGGCGAAGGCGGCUAACUGGACUGGUACUGACGCUGAGGUGCGAAAGUGUGGGGAGCAAACAGGAUUAGAUACCCUGGUAGUCCACACCGUAAACGAUGAGAGCUAGUUGUU